GGGCACAUGGUGUAGUUGGUUAUCACAUCCGCUUAGCAUUUACGGCUUGCGGGGGGUGCUGGGUUCAAUUCCCAGUGUGUCCA
rnacentral:tRNA from 1 species